rnacentral:rRNA from 1 species
ACAGCACAGCCGCGGGAACACGGAGGAUCCGAGCGUUAUCCGGAAUUAUUGGGUUUAAAGGGUGCGUAGGCGGAUAGAUAAGUCAGUGGUGAAAGACGGUGGCUCAACCAUCGCAGUGCCGUUGAUACUGUUUAUCUUGAAUAUGGAUGAGGUAGGCGGAAUGUGGCAAGUAGCGGUGAAAUGCAUAGAUAUGCCACAGAACACCGAUUGCGAAGGCAGCUUACCAAGGCAAAAUUGACGCUGAGGCACGAAAGCGUGGGGAUCGAACAGGAUUAGAUACCCCUGUAGUCCCUGUCUCUUAUACA